CCUCGGGAGGCUGCAGUGGGGAAUAUUGGACAAUGGGGGGAACCCUGAUCCAGCCAUGCCGCGUGUGUGAAGAAGGCCCUCGGGUUGUAAAGCACUUUCAGUGAGGAAGAACGCCUGGUGGUUAAUACCCAUCAGGAAAGACAUCACUCACAGAAGAAGCACCGGCUAACUCCGUGCCAGCAGCCGCGGUAAUACGGAGGGUGCGAGCGUUAAUCGGAAUUACUGGGCGUAAAGCGCGCGUAGGUGGCUUGAUAAGCCGGUUGUGAAAGCCCCGGGCUCAACCUGGGAACGGCAUCCGGAACUGUCAAGCUAGAGUGCAGGAGAGGAAGGUAGAAUUCCCGGUGUAGCGGUGAAAUGCGUAGAGAUCGGGAGGAAUACCAGUGGCGAAGGCGGCCUUCUGGACUGACACUGACACUGAGGUGCGAAAGCGUGGGUAGCAAACAGGAUUAGAUACCCGUGUAGUC
rnacentral:rRNA from 1 species